rnacentral:rRNA from 1 species
UGCAGUCGAGCGGUAGAGAGAAGCUUGCUUCUCUUGAGAGCGGCGGACGGGUGAGUAAUGCCUAGGAAUCUGCCUGGUAGUGGGGGAUAACGCUCGGAAACGGACGCUAAUACCGCAUACGUCCUACGGGAGAAAGCAGGGGACCUUCGGGCCUUGCGCUAUCAGAUGAGCCUAGGUCGGAUUAGCUAGUUGGUGAGGUAAUGGCUCACCAAGGCGACGAUCCGUAACUGGUCUGAGAGGAUGAUCAGUCACACUGGAACUGAGACACGGUCCAGACUCCUACGGGAGGCAGCAGUGGGGAAUAUUGGACAAUGGGCGAAAGCCUGAUCCAGCCAUGCCGCGUGUGUGAAGAAGGUCUUCGGAUUGUAAAGCACUUUAAGUUGGGAGGAAGGGCAGUAACCUAAUACGUUGCUGUCUUGACGUUACCGACAGAAUAAGCACCGGCUAACUCUGUGCCAGCAGCCGCGGUAAUACAGAGGGUGCAAGCGUUAAUCGGAAUUACUGGGCGUAAAGCGCGCGUAGGUGGUUCGUUAAGUUGGAUGUGAAAUCCCCGGGCUCAACCUGGGAACUGCAUUCAAAACUGACGAGCUAGAGUAUGGUAGAGGGUGGUGGAAUUUCCUGUGUAGCGGUGAAAUGCGUAGAUAUAGGAAGGAACACCNGUGG